GGGGGCGUGGCGAAAUUGGUAGACGCACUGGAUUUAGGUUCCAGCGCCGCAAGGUGUAAGAGUUCGAGUCUCUUCGCC
rnacentral:tRNA from 1 species